GACGAACGCUGGCGGCGUGCUUAACACAUGCAAGUCGAACGGAAAGGCCCUGCUUUUGUUGGUUUCUCGAUUGGCGAACGGGUGAGUAACACGUGAGUAACCUGCCCUUGUCUUUCGGAUAACUUUAGGAAACUCGGGCUAAUACCGGAUAUGAUCUCCUGCUGCACGUUGUUGGUUGGAAAGUUUCGGCUGUUCUGGCUCUAUUCGCUGCUUAUCAGCUUGUUGGUGUGGUAGUUGCUUACCAAGGCUUUGACGGGUAGCCGGCCUGGGAGGGUUAACGGCCACAUGGGGACUGAGGUACGGAGCAGAAGCCUACGGGAGGCAGCAGGGGGGAGUAUGACACAAUGGGCGGAAGCCAGAUGCAGAGACGCCGCGUGCGGGAUAACGGCCUUUGGGUUGUAAACAGAUUUCGAAUGUGACGAAGAGUGAGUGACGGUAAUGAGUAAAGAAGCAACGGCUAACUACGUG
rnacentral:rRNA from 1 species